UAGAAGGUCUGCUCCCCAUCAAGAUCCUCCAGAGAUGGAGUUGAUGAUCCCAAUUAGGGGCCGAUCUCUGGGCUGCUCUUCCCUCCUCAGCGGCUCAGGUUGUGGCAGGGUCCUUGGCCGAUCUUCUCUACCCUCAGGCCGGCGUCGAAUGAACCUGUCGAGCUGACCUCAUCUGAUGAGCUCCUCGAUCUCAUCUCAGAGUUGAAUGCAUUUCUCUGUGUCGUGACCGUGGUCACGAUGGUAGAGGCAGAACUUGUUAGGAUUGCACUU
rnacentral:lncRNA from 1 species